CAUAGCGUAAAUCUCGGCCAUCCAAAACAAAUCCAACGGCUGAGAUUCGUCCACGUCAAGCCACGUUAAAAUUUAACUCGCAGAUUUACUCUGAAGUAAAAAUUUUACUUCAGGAGUUUAAAAUUUCAGUAGUUCUGUGAGUUAAAUUUUAACUCGUGAUAACGUGGACGAAUCCUAGCCGUUGGAUUUAUUUUAGAUGGCCGAGAUUCAUACUACG
rnacentral:pre_miRNA from 1 species